UACAGAGGGGGCAAGCGUUGUUCGGAAUUAUUGGGCGUAAAGGGCGCGUAGGCGGCCUGGCAAGUGACGGGUGAAAGCCCUCGGCUCAACCGAGGAACUGCCUGUCAUACUGCCGGGCUUGAGUCCGGGAGAGGUGAGUGGAAUUCCCAGUGUAGCGGUGAAAUGCGUAGAUAUUGGGAGGAACACCAGUGGCGAAGGCGGCUCACUGGACCGGAACUGACGCUGAGGCGCGAAAGCGUGGGGAGCAAACAGG
rnacentral:rRNA from 1 species